UCAUUUUGUUCCAGAGGGUUCUAAAAGAUGAAGUUUUUCUCUCUUCUCUCCAUCUCCGAUUCUCCAUGUUUUCAUGGUAUCAGAGCAUGAUUCUUCUUUCCGGACGUCUCCUCUCUGUUCUUCAUUCUUCCGGUCCAGCAUUAUUGAGUUAUCAGCGGUGAUUCUGGAUUUUUUUUUCCCGAUUUGUUGGUGGAAUCGGAGAUGUUUUCAGUCUUGUCAUAUGGAUUGUUGUUGCUUUCUCAAGCGCAGUGUUUAGGGUAAAUUUCCGACACCUUUCGCGGUUGAUUCUGACGGUUUCAAAAGCGUUGGAUUUGCACUAAAUAAAGUUAGGGUUUUCUCUGAGCAUUUGAAGGCCGUUCUUCUCCGGUAGCGUAGAAGUCGGGCAACACUAAUCUCACUUUCCUUCAGAACUUGCAAGUGUUUUUGGUGGAAAAUCUGGUGUAUCGAGAAGUUCACAGAAAUUGAAUCAGUUUCUCUACAUCACUGUUGUUUUGUUUCUGAUGAUAAAUAUGAAUCCUAAUAAUGCUUCACCCAUUGA
rnacentral:lncRNA from 1 species